CAUGUGCGUUCCAGCCGUUUCGAUCACUUUAUUUAUUGCAUCAGUAGCAAGCAGAAUAUAAGCUGCAAGAAUUCGUUAUCGAUCUCCGUUAUCGUUAUCAUGCAGAAAUUACUCUUAUGUGUAUUCCUUAUGCUGUGCAGCAUUGUCUUUUGCCAGGGCAACCCGCGAGAACGCCGGCAACUAGUAAAUUCCGCAAUCGAUGCCGCAAAAUCGGUCGGGCACGGACUAGCGGCAGUGGGUGAUGCGCUGACGUUGCAAGGCCACAAGGCGGCUAACCAGGGGGGAAAGGCUGUCGACCGUGCGGGUGAUUCUGUUAAGGAUUUGGGAAAAAUUGUUUAUAACCCAAAAUCAUAGUCCCAGAAAUUAUGUUUCGUUGUUAUACUGUAUGUAUCGGUAUGCGAGCAUCGCUGUCUGUAUUAUGUAUGUACUAUGUAGUGUACAAUUGCACGUAUAAACGUAAGCUUAUCUGUUUGGACUAAAUGGAUUUGUACAAAGCUGUAAAUAAAUUUUUGUUCAUGUAAUUUUUAUCACGGUGACGUUGUGAAUUGCUAACUGUAAGUUGAACGGCAAAUCUGGGCGUAAUAAAACACCCGGUACAUU